CCUACGGGGUGCAGCAGUGAGGAAUAUUGGUCAAUGGACGAGAGUCUGAACCAGCCAAGUAGCGUGAAGGAUGACUGCCCUAUGGGUUGUAAACUUCUUUUAUAUGGGAAUAAAAUGUUCCACGUGUGGGAUUUUGUAUGUACCAUAUGAAUAAGGAUCGGCUAACUCCGUGCCAGCAGCCGCGGUAAUACGGAGGAUCCGAGCGUUAUCCGGAUUUAUUGGGUUUAAAGGGAGCGUAGGUGGAUUGUUAAGUCAGUUGUGAAAGUUUGCGGCUCAACCGGAAAAUUGCAGUUGAAACUGGCAGUCUUGAGUACAGUAGAGGUGGGCGGAAUUCGUGGUGUAGCGGUGAAAUGCUUAGAUAUCACGAAGAACUCCGAUUGCGAAGGCAGUUCACUGGACUGCAACUGACACUGAGGCUCGAAAGUGUGGGUAUCAAACAGGAUUAGAUACCCUGGUAGUC
rnacentral:rRNA from 1 species